GGGCGUGUGGUCUAGUGGUAUGAUUCUCGCUUUGGGCGAAGCCUAGCUGAAACUGGGUUAAACUACUAAGCAUGCGAGAGGCCCUGGGUUCAAUUCCCAGCUCGCCCC
rfam:Eremothecium cymbalariae DBVPG#7215 chromosome 4, complete sequence.